GAUGAACGCUGGCGGCGUGCUUAACACAUGCAAGUCGAACGGAAAGGCUCCUGCUUGCAGCGGUACUCGAGUGGCGAACGGGUGAGUAACACGUGGGUGAUCUGCCCUGCACUUCGGGAUAAGCCUGGGAAACUGGGUCUAAUACCGGAUAGGACGAUGGUUUGGAUGCCAUUGUGGAAAGUUUUUCGGUGUGGGAUGAGCUUGCGGCCUAUCAGCUUGUUGGUGGGGUAAUGGCCUACCAAGGCGUCGACGGGUAGCCGGCCUGAGAGGGUGUACGGCCACAUUGGGACUGAGAUACGGCCCAGACUCCUACGGGAGGCAGCAGUGGGGAAUAUUGCACAAUAGGCGCAAGCCUGAUGCAGCGACGCCGCGUGGGGGAUGACGGCCUUCGGGUUGUAAACUCCUUUCGCUAGGGACGAAGCGCAAGUGACGGUACCUGGAGAAGAAGCACCGGCUAACUACGUG
rnacentral:rRNA from 1 species